UCUGAUACUAUCUGAGAAAAAAUUAAAAAAAAAAAAAGAAAAAGCAAAUAUGAAACAGAUAAAAGUCAAAAGGGACAUAAUUUCGCCGGGAAAAUCGAUGAUGAAACGGUUAUAUACCGUUCAUUUGGUCUUUUUCCCCCGAAAUCUCGCGGUCACAAAUCGUAUUAAAUGUUUUGCCGAUCGCAGCUGCACCUGUGACUGCCAGCUGUUUCCAUCGAACUGAUAAAAAGAAUCGUCCUUUGCCGCAUUAACAAGGUACCCUUCGGAAUUGCGGGCCAAUCAUUCAAUUCGUUCGUGAUCUCGAUUCAAGAAAAUUUCGUCAGAUAUUAAAUAUUCCACGUGAUUAUAUCUUUACGAUUUUAUUGAUUUCAAAAAUAUCUAGUUUCUUCCUAUUAAAAAUAAAUCACGAUACAAAGGAAAAAAUUAAGCUGAAAUUAGAAGAAAAAUACAAAUAUCCCAAUACAAAACUCGCAGCAAACGUCUCUUAAAAUUAUUUCUCAAAAAUGUUUUCCUCCAUUCUCCUCGCAGAUUAAUUCGUGCUACGAUUACUCGUACAAAAAUAUUUCCAUUGCAAUUAAUCGAACGCGCAGGUAACAAAUUAAUUAAACUGGCGAAUUGAAUUCGAUAUACAAGGACACGUAGGUUGGAAAAUAAUUUUUAAAGCCCACGCGUGGAGAAUUCGUUCUUCAAAUAGUAGAGAACGAUCGAGUACUGGCGUGUUACACUGCGACGACAUUUUCGAUCAUAAAAGACCGCAAUACGUCGAACGUGAUAUCUCGAUUGCAGUUACCUGGAGUAAAAUGGCCGUCGGAUUAAUGGAUAAUUAAACACGGUGCACGAUAACACCGAAAAUACGAGGUAAUUAUUAAUUAUUAAUUGUGAAACUAUUGCACGACGGAACUGACCAUCUGCGGCUCGAGAACGGACCAUUAUCUCGAUUAUUGACUGGAGAGAAACCAUUGAUUUGACGGUUCUCUGAAAUCAGUGUUUCUUCAUAAAAAUUGUACAUCGUGUAAAAAAUAUUUCUAUCGAAACGCAAUUUUUUAAAAAAUAAUGGAGUAAAAAUUUCAGUCAAAAAAUGAAUAUUUUUAAUAUUUUAAAACAAUAAUAAUUAUACGAUAAAAUUAUGAACUCGGACAAGGGAUGAAAGUUCGUUAUCCUCUCUGUACUUUCUUUCGUUCGAGAAAAUCGAGCAACUAAUAAUUGAGCCAUCUGAUCGAGAAGUGUGUGGAAAGAAAACAGGGGUUGAUUCAAGAAAUUAUGGAAUAAAUUAUACUCGGUGUUUUCGUUAUCGCGAUAUUCAACAAGAAGUUAAUUAAAUUUCGAUUCGAUAUUAAAUUUGAGUUUGGGUUUUUCAAAAGAUUGCCAAGUUCGUUCGAUGAUAAGGCACGGGAGGGGGCGGAUCGAUCGGGGUGAAUAUCGCCAAGUAUUAUAUCAUUAUGGGGAAAGUUUAGACCGGGUUGAAAGUUUCAGUUACUUUGUUACUUUGCAACGAAUUAUUCGCAAAUAAACCGGGACGUUGUAACGAUAAAUAACGUGGUGUGUACAGCGGUUAAUGUCAUCGAGUCCCUUUUUCCAAGGAAUAUAUUAUACAACGAUAACUUAAGGGAAAUCUAACUAUUAACAUAAUAAAUAGUCGACCAUAAACUAUGAAUUUUCAACUGUGUUGAAUCCAUUUGGGACUAAUGCGAGCGGUAAAAGCGAUUAUCGGGGGACGAUAUAUUUUGCAAUUUUGGCAGCUGUGCACCCGCGUAUUUUAGUUACAAUUUGAAACUAAUUAUAAUUUUCAAUGCUGGGUAGUAGACUUCAUCGAAAAGAAAAACGUUCCUUUUUGACGGAAUAUCAACGCGCCUACGUAAUAUUCCAACAUUUAAUUGAAUCGUUUAAUAAAUUUUGUAUCAAAUUUCAAAAGAUUUUUAGUUUCAACGAUUAACCAAAUCCUAAAAAAAAAAAAAACAAAUAAAUAUUCUCCCCUUUUUUCCAAGAUAAAUCGAAAUAUCUGAAGCUCUAUCUCGUCUUUAGAAAAUUAUAUACUAACAAACAACUAAAAUCAAAUCCAAUUUAUAUCUCUUAAUAAGGGAAAGAAAAUUAGUUCCGCUUUCACUGUUCUCGUUCAAACUUACCAAGAUACCAGAAGAAGGAACUUUAAUUAACUUUAAUCGCAUUCUCAAUUGCCUUCCAAAUUAACGCCUCUUCCAAAGCGUUUAACGCCCCGAAUUACAAUGAAAAAAAACACCAAUCCACAAACUUGUGGGAAAAACCUUUAUCCACCUCAGCUUCGAAAUCGAUUAAGUCAAAGGAUAAACCUAAGUCAGCCAUCCGUUCCGUGACAGCUCGAACCGUGUGUGACCACAUCCUUUUUCCAGAAAAAGAGAAAAAGAAAGAGAGAACGUCUCCAAAAUCGCACGAUCUGCUCGUAAAACGCGAUAUAAACGUGUCCUUUCACACGUUGCUCGUAAUCCGUGCGUCCCGUGGGAGGCGAUCACCGAGAGGAAGGGAAAAAGCCCAGCGGCCAUUAAUCAGAGCCAUUAAGCUCCGAGUAAAGACAAGGAGGAGGCGAGAAGUCUCGAUUUGAUCGGCCUGGGCGGAUGUUUUUCUUUUUACGAUCCUAACCGUGCUGCAGAUUUUGCGAGAGCUCUCCCGGUAUUGACCCAAUUCCCCCCGUGUUGCGAGUCCGUUGCUGAUCGUGCCACACUCUCUCUUUUAGUUUUAUCCACUUUUUCCGUGCCGAUCGGGUUUUCCUUGGAAUAAAGAAAACAGGAACGUGGAUGAUGUAUCCGUUAUGCGAUUUCGUUCCCUCUCCUUUCUUUCUUUCUUCCCUUCCUUCUGCUCUCUGCCGUAAAUCGAAGUACGUAUUUUCGGUUUGAUCCUAUUCGUCGGAUUACACGGGUUACAAUCCUUGAGUGAAAGGAGAGUAUUCUUCGUUGUUUAAAAUCUGUUUUUAGGUUUUUAGACAUGUUAUUUAACAUUUCCAUUGAUCGAAAUUCUGUAAAGUAAGUCUUUCUGACUUUUUCCAAAAAAAAAUCAAGAUGGUUUCCAAUUUCGAGAAAGUUAUUCUAUUUCAAAGGAUCGAAGAUUUUUUGCCAAGGCUUGUAUUUCUAGCCGCGUUACGUUCGCAAUCUUGAUAAAAUUCGUUUUAAAUUAUAUUUCCAAUACCGGUGAGAUUAAAGUUGUGACAUAGGCGAAAAUAAAAUUUGAAAUUCUGUCCAAAGUAUCGAAACAGGUUCUCUCCGUGUAAUAUUGGCAGUAUCGACGUUCACAUCAGUCGAUUUACGUAGUCUCGUUUCUUCGCGACUUAUCAACGAACCUUCUCGACCUAGGAAAAUGCCAUUCAGCUCGUUUCCCAGCCGAGCUUUUUGAGGUGAACAAGCUGCCAACAAAAGAACAGCGUUCAGCGAUCUUAAUUGAACCGCGAAGUAUGCCAUUCGAUGGACGUUUCGUAAUAGGUUCUCCUUAUGAAAUUCAUAAAUGCAGUGUCGUUCCCUCGUGAAAGUGGAACGUUAUCCAACGUUAUCCAUCGUUAUUGUUCAACGAGCCGAUACAAUGCUUAAAAUUUAAACGAAAAGAAAGAAAUAGAAACAGAAAGAAUGAUGAAAGGGGAGGAGGAGAAGAAGAAGAAGAAAAAAGAUGAAAUGAAAUUUUCGUGAAAACGUUAUAACGUCUACUUAUGAAAGUACGAAGAUAUAAUUUAAUUCGAUCGAUCAAGAUUAUCUUAAUCUAUUGAUCUCUGAACAAGAUUCUGUCUACUCUUAUUAUGACUGCUCUCUUUAUAUUCUUUGAUUUAUUAUUACAUAUCUCCUUCAUUUAUCAUUAUAAAAGUUUCGUUAUUUGUUAGAAUUUGUGAGAACGUAAUAUCGCGAUUGGUUCUGAAGAUACAUCCAAAGAUGAACUAUAAAUGGAUACCUUAUGGAUGGCAAGACUUGACAAUUUGGAAGCUGAUUUAUGAGCUUACCCAACUCGCUCUACCGCUGAAGGGAAUUUUAUUACUGUCGAGGACUCGACGACACACUAACAUCCCCUAACACGAUCCAUUUCUCAUCCCCUGUAACAAUCUAACCGAAACGUCACUUUCUCUCCCAAACUCGCAACGACGAGAAAUACAGCCAUCCAAAUUAAACGUUUCUCGCAUCUCUCUCAAACAAUGAUCCAAUCGUUAUAUCUCGAGUAUUACCGAUUAAAUUAAAGUUAAAAGAAAUUUAAAAACUCAAAAGAAAUUAACACUCGAAUUAACGUCGAACCAACUCUUGUCACGCGUUGCAAUUUUUCAUCGAUGCCUCUCGAAUCGAGGGCGAUUUAAAGACCAAUCGAAGGAAAAUGCGCAAUGCAGUCGCGACUACCAACAAGCGACCAAUCCAAUUGUUUACCGGAUAGAAAUAAUCUAUCUAGAAAUCUAUUUCUUCUUCCUGGUGGCCAUCUAUCCGCAAACAAUGGAUAUCCUGCCGCGUAAUUUCACGGUGUCCCGAUUUUCGAACGGGACAGAAAUCAUACCCGUGGCUUGAUCGUGGUAAUGCUGGCUAACGCAAGGUUGCGAACAAAUUGCAUUUUACCACCUCGUCCCUCCACUCCUUCAUCGAGAAUCGUCGAUGAAUGAUUUCUCUCGUCUCGCGUUUAAUCGCGCUGAAGUUUGCGCUCGCUAAAAAAGUAAUUUUUGCUCGAUAAUAUAGAUCGAAUUAUGAAGAUUAUCGUUUUAAAAAGAUUUUGAGAAUUUUUGUUUUUUCGAAGAAUAUUGUUGUUGUUUUUAUCAUUUAAAUUCUUUGAGAAACAGAAUUUUCAUUACGAUUAUAUCUUUGAAAAAUAUUGAUUCGGAGUAUGGUAUUUUAUUUGAGAUUUUUAAAAUUAUUUUUCGGAGAUAUUAAUUAUUAAGAUUAAUUAGACGUACGAGAUGUAACACGUUCGUGUAAUUAUUCGAUUCGAACUCGAGUUGGUCUCUUGCAUCGUUCAAAACAUAAGGAUUCCACGCAUAAUUAACACGUAAAGUGCACGUCAAGCUCCGUGGACAAAGAUAAAUUCUAUUUAAUUUAACGUCGGAUUUCAAGGAAACAGCAUCACGGGAUUUAAACAAAGUUAAAUGCACCGUUUCUGUUUCUCUGAUUUAACGAACGGUAGCCAACCCUCUAAUUUCGAAUGCGCGAUUUCUCUCUGACAACUUUUUUUUUCUCGUCAAUUUCGCUUUAUCGCGUUAGACUCCGGAUUAAGAAACAUUAUACCUUUUAACGAACGUUUCGCGGUUAAAGAUACCAAUUUAUGAAGUGCAUCCGUGCAAUGAUAUUCAUCUAUUCGUUGAUUCGACAUCGUUGUUAAACCUCAUUGUUAAUCCUCAUUAGUCUGAUCGAUUUAUGCACGUGAACCAAACUCAAUUUCUCGAUAUUCAUCCGAUUGCACGCACGAUGCAACGAUUACGUUACAUUUUUAUAUACGUAACUAUUAUCUUGUAAAUUUCUUAAUAUUUCAGAAUUGUUUUAUCGAUGCAAUGCUUGUACUUUUAUAAUAAUUUUCUAUCACUUUUCAAUCUUUAACGCCGAGUGUGUUACAAGUAACAUAAAAUGAUAAAUAUCUCAUGUUCCAUUUCCUUCCCUCUCUCCUUCAAAAAAGCCAAGAAAAUCAAAAUGUAAAUUUUUCGAUAUUUCAGAAUUCUUUUAUCGAUGCAUCAAUUCUUUUAUACUUUUAUAAUAAUUUUCUAUCACUUUUCAAUCUUUAACGCCGCACAACACGCGACGAGUGUCUUACAAGUAACAUAAAAUUCAUACAUUUCCUGAUAAAGAAAUAAACAACUCCCAAAUAAAUAUCUCAUGUUCCAUCUCUUUCCUCCCCUCCAAGAAAGCCAAGAAAUCAAAAUGUAAAUUUCUCAAUAUUUCAGAAUUCUUUUAUCGAUGCAUCAAUGCUUGUACUCUUAUAAUAAUUUUCUAUCACUUUUCAAUCUUUAACGCCGCACAACACGCUACGAGUGUCUUACAAGUAACAUAAAAUUCAUACAUUUCCUGAUAAAGAAAUAAACAACUCCCUCAUAAAUAUCUCAUGUUCCAUCCCUUUCCCCUCCAAGAAAUCCAAGAAAUCCAAAUCAAAAUACCUGAUUUGACAAUAUGGCACGCCCAGUGUACGCUCAUCCCUCUUGCUCGUCACUGAUAUCGAACCGUCGAGACGCUCGAAACGAGGUAGGAUAAUUAAUUAGAACGAACGACGGCAGGGGGGAGUAAAAUUCGCCUCUGAAAGAUUAGGUGGCGGGGGUGCAGGCCACGUUACGCUCCCUGGCUGGCCGGGUUACUCGCCGCUUUCUCACCCCCUUCCGCGGAAAAGGAAGCGCGCGGAUCGAUGCCAGGAGGAGGGAAACGCGCCGGUGUCGACGACCUCUCUCUCCGCCCCCUCUCUCACGCACACACAACCCCUCGUGGAAAUAGCACGUAGAAAUCGCGCUGAGGAGGGUGGGUGGUGUACACCGAUCCCGGUGAAUCGUAACCGUGUCGUUCGCAACGUCGUUGUUUUGCCGUCGUCGUGGUUUUUGUCGAGAUUCGCCCCUGAAGGGUUCGUCGGCCCUCCGACAAAGCCGAGUUUUUCUUCCUUUGAGCCGGGGAGUUCGACGAGGAAAGGGAGGAAGGGUUUUGCAGCAGCCUGGCCGGUAAUUGGACCCGGGGUUGUUUUGUCGGUUUCAGCGUGUGUGUGUGUGUGGGACACGCGAGCUUCUUCUCGCAGCAGAGAGUAAUUUCGGCUGGAUUCGGAUUUGUCGAGUUGAUCCAGGGGGGAUUUGGAAUCGAGGAGAUGCGUUCGAUUCGUUUAUUCGUGACGAGGAGCAACGAGGUGAACGAAUUUAAUCUUGCGAUGGAUUGUCGUGAUCUUGAAGAUCGAUCGAGGUAAUUGAAAGAAUUAUUAUUAAAUUUGGGGAUUCGAAAGAAGUUUUGUUGUUUGAGAGUAUUUGAGAAUAAAGAAAUAAAUUCAUUGAAAUAUUUUAUUAAUUGGAGAUAACGAAAUCUGGCCUUAAUAAAUCGCUCGCCUUUCGAAAAAGGGUUGAAAUAGAUUCUGAUGAUAUAAAAAUUUGAAGAUGGCAGAAAUGCAGAAGAUUUCAAAUUCAAAGAAGAUUAUAAAAUUUUAAAAUAUAUUUAAAAGAUUACGAAUCUGGAAGUAAUAAAAUUUAGCAGAGUGAAGGAAUGAUUAAUUCGAGAAGAACUGUGGACGUUUAAGUUAAAAUUUUCAUCGGUAGUAUCGGUUUUAUGACAAUGUGAAAGAGAUUUCAGUGGAACGCUGGUGACGCUGGAAUAGGGUUAACUAUUUAUAUCAAUAAAAGCCGGUGGUAAAAUGGAAAGGCUUACAGUUUAACUCGAACCCUUUGUUUCGUUGACGAGUGAUAAAAUAGAUCUCGUAGGCGGGUAGCUUGCACAGCUAUUAAAAGAUUCGAGUCGGUGGUUCGAUUUAUUGGCUCGCGAACCAUAUAGUUUCCAAGGGUGAACUGCGGAUUUUCUGUUUUCCUCUUCACGUCGGUGGAAAAAGAUUUAUCCCGAAUGCAAAUUUUUUUUUUAUUUUCAUUUUCAACUUAUAAUCUUCCGUUCGUUGUUGCAAUUCGACUCACGUUUAUUAUCGUUGAGAUUUUUUCGAUGCAGCAUCGAGAACAGCAAGAAUUUUACUUUACUAAGAUUAACUUUGACACACAUUUCCAUACUCAUUAAAUUCAAUUUAUAUUAUACAAUCUUUCGUCCAAAUAUAUCAAAUAACUAUAUCUAAUUCACAAAACAAAAGUAUAAUUUACAAUUUAUUCAAUACUCAAUUAAAAUUAAAAUUAUAUCAAAAUUACAAUCAAAAUUUUUAUCUCUCGUUUGUUGGAUUCGUCGUUCAAAAAAAGAAAUUCUUACUAAUUCUUAAUUAACGAUUCUUCAAAAUUCCAAAGUCGUUGGAACGAGAUAAUGAAGCAACGUCGCGGAACAAGCGCAAUUUCGUUAAUUGCUGAAACGGUGGAUCAGAAUUUCGAGGUGAAUCGUUGGGAAUGUUUCGCCUCGUCUGGAGAUGGGAGGAGAAAUGGAGGUGUCUGAUUUAAUCACGGCUCGGUGGAAGCCGCAUCGCGACACGUCUGACCUCAGACCGACAUGCACCACUGUCGAGUCAAACGGCGAUAUAUGUAUAUAUGUAUAUACAUUCGCGAAGAUUCGAAAACCGAUAGAAAUUGCGGACGAUUAGCCGAGGGCAGUUCCGUGUUUUCGUUUCGAGCGUUAAUUGGUGGGGAAUUCGCGCCAGAUGUUGGCUGGAAAAAUGCUAAUAUUUAAACCGGCAAUUAGCGCGCUAAUUAAGGUGGGCUGGUUUUUGUUAUCGCUUGCUUUUCUUCGUCUGGAAAUCGAGGAGAAUGGAAUAUAAUAUUUCGGAAUAUAAGAUUUUCCGCUUGAAGAGAGAUCAAAAUUAAAAAAAAAAUAAAUCGUAGAUUUUUUGAAAGCACCUUGGAUUAUUUAUCUCGUUUUAUUCGUAAUAUUUUCAUGUAAGAUAUUUUUCGUAGCAAGGAUUAUAGUUGUGAGUAACGUUGGAUGCAAUUCAACCGCGAGAUAUAACCGUAAUUGAAUCGAUAAUCGAUAACGAGAAGCGUAUAAGAAGCUGGGUGAUGGCUGUGCCGUCAUGAAACUUGCAGCCAAGAAAAGAUGUUUGUAAUUACACGUCGGAAACCGUUUCUUUCCCAUUUCUAUUUCAUAUCGAACUACUUUUCGAUAACUUAAAUUUCUUCCGUUUUUUACGUAACUUGAAAAUUUUGAAAAUUGAAGAAAUUUAAUGAUUUCAAAAUAUCGAUUUAUUGGUUCCUUCCUUAAUUUUAAAAAGAUGAAAAAUCAUCAGGCAGAAGAUUCGUCAGUAGCCAAAUUGUAAUUCACGUAUCGUGCCGAAGUCAAUUUUGCCAUUUCCAAAUUACAACGUGGUUAUCGCCUCUUUCCACGGUAUUGGCGAGUAAUUCAAGCCACGUCCCUGCGUGUUCGACUUGCUCAUCGAUAUCUCGGAACGUGUAACGAGUCCUUAUUACGUAAAACCGAUCAAAGUGCAAACAAGAUGCGGCCCACUGCGUGCAAACCUAUAACGUGAACCCGUUGGAACGAUAUCGAAAUGUUAACGUUGCAAUUGCAUUAAACGCGUCACGCGAUAAUUCCAUUCGUGCUCCAUCGAUCAUGCUGAUACCACAUUUUUGCGAGGUUUCGUUCGAUCUAAAUGAUUCGUCGAAUCGAUGUUGUGCGUCACUCUUUGCUGAAACAAACGGAUUAAGACGAAUCUGAAAGAAUCAUCUGAUUAUGCUUCUAUUUCAUUUGUAAAAGAAAAGCUUAUUUUUUCUUUUUUGGCUUCUUUCUUCGCGCGUGAAAUGAAUUUUGAUUUUCCAUGAUUGUUACGUGAUAACCGAAGAAUUAGAAAGAGUAUCGAAUGGUGAGCUCUCCAAGCUUGGAACGGAGACAAUAUUUAUUUAUGAUUGAUUUUUUUUUAGAAUUCGUGAAUAGAUUCCUAAGCUCGUAUUACGUACAAUCUUACGAAUAGCUGGGUUUUCUUACUUAAAAUUAAAUCGUGAUCGGAUCGCUGCAUCUUAUCGUGAUUAUUGGCAGUAGGAAUAUUAUUUUCAAGGGAUAGAAUUUGAUAAGCUCGAACGAAGAUGAGUUUGAGAUUUUUCGUUAUUGAAAACGAACUUUUAUUUAUAAAGAAAUUGAGAGAGAAGGAAAGCAAGUGAAGAAGACAGAGAUGAAAAAUAGGAACAAUAGACAGUGAAUGUGAAAAAGUUAUGUUAACAGGAAGAUAUUUCAUUCUGAUACUUACCCUGACGAAUCGAAGUUGCUUUUAUAAAAUAUCAAAACAACAAUAUAGAGUUCAAUAUUCAACAAUUAUAUUUUCUUUCUUUAUAUACGUAAAGAUACGUGAAAAAAUUAAAAUAUAAAAGGUUUCAUACUUGCGUUAAUUUGUGCGUGAAAUCAUUUCGAGUUGGCUGUAAGAAAUUUACCGAGCAUAGGAAAAAAUCGUCUCGAGUUUGUCGGUUCAACCGAGCGAAAAAAUGGCUUCGAGCGUUAAUAGGUUAAUAAACAUGGAACAAACUUUAAGUAGAAAUGGCUCGUCUGUGGUCAGACCAGAUCUUAGGCAUUAACUCGUUACUCGAAAGAGUAACUAAAAUUAAAGUAAUUUCGAAUAAAGUUAGCUUAAGCAAUUACUUAUAUUAAAAUGUUUAAAUAAUAAUUUGUUCGUAAUUGUUACAACCGAUCCGCUUUUCAUAUAACCUUUAGCGUUAUUUGCAAUUAUUAUUACGGUUUAUAAAUUAUUAAAGUAACUUAUGGAAAUAACUAUAUUCGUAACUUCGACUGUAAUAAAUUUUCCCCAUCACUGGGUCAGACAUAUUCCUUUAAAUAAAAAAGUGAGUUGUCUAAUCUUAGACAUCAGACAUUCCUUUAAAUAAAAAUGAAUCGUGGUCAGACACGUUCAACUAUCUCUUCCAAAUCAAAUUUUUAUCACUACUCUGCUUCCAUGCUUCAAAAAAUUACCUCGUCCAUAAAUUUUCAAAAUCUUCUCGCAUACAACUUCGAUUCCGAUAAAGAUCCUCAUUAAUUCGAUCGGUCCUCGGUAAUUUCAAAGUUCGAAACGAGAAUCCCUUCCCUUAUCUCCUCUAAAACUAAAAGAAACGUUUCGAGAAAAAAAGAAGAAAGAAAGAAAAAGAAAAGGGUCACAAAUUUUUAUCGAUCCAUUCUUAUUCCCGGGUGUUUAACGGCACGUUACACCUCUCUCUCUGUGUCUCCUCUUGCGCCUCGAAGAUUACUCGCCACUUACGGCUUCCUCGAGCGCGUCGUAUCAGCGGAACCAAGAUGAAAGCUUGGAAUCAUCCCGCGAGGUUAUCUCGCCAUCCUUGAUUAUUCUUCGAUGCUCUUCUCCACCGAUGUUUCCCGCCCUUUCCCACUCCUUAUCCUCCCUUUUCUACUUCAACUUUCUGCUCCAAGCGAUCAACCCUGAUGCGAUUCCAGGCAAAUGAUCCGUGCUUGGAGGAUUUUCCUCUCCCCGAUCCGCUUGAUUGAUUAUGCUUUCGCGUACGAUUUUCUACGUUUUAUUGCGUCUCGAAGUGACGAUAUAGUGAAAAGAUGUUGAGGUAAUGAUAGAUCGAAUUAAUUUUUUUGAAUAUAUAUAUAACAAGAUAUAUAAAUUAUAGGGGAGAGGUAUAUAAGGUAUAUAUUUUUUGAAAAUGAUUCAAACGUUAUUCUUUAUUCUUCAAAUUUUAACUGUUAGUAAUAAGUAACUGUUUCAAUGAUUUGAUAUCGAGUCAAUUGGAAAUUUAAAGAGAUUUUUAAACUGUGCAAGUCGUUUUUAAAGAAUGUGUGUGAUGUCAAUUAUUGCUAAUUGACUCUCCAUAUAGCGUUUUUUAUCAUUUCAUCGGUAAAAAGGUAUAGAGAAAUAUCUAAUGAAUUUUAAUUUUAAAAGUGCGAUAUUUUUAGAAUUAAAUGAAAUUGUGAGAUAAUAAUAUAUCAUUUUUCAUUACGAAGAAAAUCACUUUUGAUAUGUGAUGAAUGAAAAUAUUAUUCAAGUUUUCCACGUUGAUAAAAAAUCGGUCAAAACGAUAAGUUAAAAUCAGUUUGCUUCGUUACAUUGUUGUUUAAAUUUCAUAAUUGAAUUAUAAUAUUAUACUAAAUUCGCAGAAAGAAAAUGUAUAUAGUGAAGAGAUAUUUAUCUUCAAGUUUGAUCUAGAAAUUUACUCUGAACUUUAAACUGCUGAAUUCAUUACGACGUUGAGUUCUUCCGAGUAAGCUGUCAUUCGUGUUUUAUGUUUGGAUUAUUGUGCGAGUUAAUCGAGUGAGAAAUUCUAACGAAAGUUCCAUCGAACUUUCAAUUCAAUGUAUUUAUCAAUUCGGACCAUUGUACUUCCCUCGUUACAUUUGCAUUUUAUUGCAUCGAUUCGUGUAAUUUUCGAGGCAUUAAGUUAUAAUCAAUUUUUCACGAAUAACUCUUGUUGCAAAAUGUUUCUAUGCAUUUGGAACAACGAAUCGAUAUUCGAUUUUAAAAAAUUCAUCGUACUGAACGUUUUUUUGAAAGUGUAUUUAUGUGAAAUUUUAAGAUAAAAGCGUUAUACUUUUAUUCUUCUUUUUUCUUCCGAAAAUUUUUAUGAAUUUUUUUUAGAAUCAUUUUAACUUACUUAAAAAGUAGAAUAUCGAUUACUUUCUAAAAUGGAAUAUUAUUAUUCUUCAAUCUCUAAAAACAUUAACCUUGAAAAUUUGAAAGUUUUCUUCGAAGAAAAUAACGUUGCAAAAUUUCUUUCCAUCUCCACUCUUUUCCUCCACUAUGCGAGAAAUCUACUGCUCCCACUUUCGUUUUCUUUUUCCUUCAAAAAUUUUCAUAAAUUUCUCACCCCCUUCUCACUUCAACUGUUAAUCGUCUCUGGAUUACGAUAAAAUUCCAUCGUUCUUCCUCGCUUGAAAAUUUUCUUCGUGAAAAAGUCUUACAAAAAUCCCUUUCCAUCCAUGUUUAUCAUUCUCCUCUCCCCCUCCCGCCACACACAAGAAAUCUGCAAAUGGUCCAUCGAUUUUCGAUGAUGCACGACAACGUCGCGCGCGUACAAUGAAAGAUGUAUCGGAGAACGGGCGAGCACCGUCCUCAUAAAUCGGCGGGAAUCGAACGAAAAACACGUUUCUCCAUCCAUCCGGCCGAGCUGGCGCACAUCUCGUGAUGUUAUUUCGCUUUCGUAAAUGGAUCCGUAAUGAAUCUCGAGGGCGCCUUCUUCUUCCUUCGCUACGGUAAAAAAAUACACGAUAUUAUAUUUUCUCUCGACCCCGGAAACCGCUAUUAACCGAUUCCAUUGUUUCCUGGUUCGUUCUCGAAAGAAGAAUGUUUAGAAUCAUGCUAGUGGAUCGCGAGAAAAUGGAUCAUGGAUGAGUUUCCAGAGACAGAGAAAGAGAGAGAUUUCGUUUCCUCCAACAACUUUUAGUUAUUGUUUAAUUAUGGCAGAAACAAAUUUGGCAGAAACAAUCGUAGAAAAAUCGGUCGUGAAAUAUAAAUUUCAUCAGCUGGAGAUCGAGCGAUGAAUGAUGAGGUUAUUGCUUGAUUCUUUUUUUUUUUAUUCGUUAUAUUUUGGAGGAGAAAAAAAUCGAGGUUGGAAUCGUUCGGAAAUUAAUGAAUUAAUAUCGCGAUCGAUACGUUUCAAUAUGAAUUAAAUAUCCCUUAAUUGUUUCGAUGAAAUAAUUAUUGGCCGAUCAACAAUAAUAUUAUUCGUUAUAUUAAAACGUUAUAAUUUGAACGCUUUAUAAUAAAUUCAUGAUUGCUGAAAAGGACACGGGCGACGUGUUAAUUUUAUACGUUAUGAAUUCUACGUUUUAUAAGUUAAAAAAGACACACGCACAUACACACGCGCAAGAAAGAGACAGAGAAGAAUACAUCUCUACCACUACUAUUGUCAAACAUUUCUUCUCAAUUUCUCUCACGUUUAAUACGCCAUUUAAUCCCAGGAGGACUUAAUGAAAUAACAAGGCUCGAUUUCCAAUCUACCCCUUCGCCUAAAGAAUUGAAUUUCGUCCAGCAAUUUCGCUCAAGCACAAGUAUAUAUACCUUGUUUAUAACAAAAGGUGGAAUGUCAUCACGGACAGAUAAGAUCGGGCGGAAGAGAUCCUGAAUAGAGGUCCCCGUUUCGGUUCCCUGAACGCAAUUAUCCCGUCGAGUUGUCGAGAGUUUUUUUUUUUUUCGAGUGGACCGCCCGAUAAACGGCCCCCGAAGUUGCAAGUUGCAACGUUGGAGCCAUCAUUGGAGGGUGGAGGGGGAAGAGAAAGGGGCGAGAUGGUGGAAGCACCCUCGAAACUCGAGCGAACCGUAAACAAUGCUACUCUCAGAUAACGUUUCCCUUUAUUGCACGCGGUCCAACGACGUGAACCUGCAGUUUAGCAUUAUCGUUCCUGAUGAAACUCUCUCUCUCUCUCUCUCUUUCUCUCUUUCGCUUUCUCCUUCUCUCUUCUUCCUCGUCGACGAUCGAUAAACACGCGCUCGAACCGUCGCCGUGUUUUCGUGCGGAGAACACGUUUUUCGUGAUUCUCUUCCUUUGAAACGGCGAGACGGAUGUGAUUUUCUUCGUGGAAAUUGGAAUUUUGUGGAAUGCAGUGAUCUAUAUGAGAGAGAGGGGGGUGGUUUUGUUAACGAUUUGGAAUUAAUUUUGACGAGUUAUGGAACAAGAUUUUCUGAAGAUUUUGUUAAUUUGGCGAUUAGAUUAAAUUAAUUUUCCAACUUUGAGAAGAAUAGAAUGAUAGAAAUGAAUAAGAUAAGUGUGAAAAUUUUGUGAAGUUAGGAUUCAAUGAGAAAAGAAUGGAUGUAAAUUUUGUAGAAAUGGGAAUUUUGGUUUAUGGGGUGAUUUUAUUUCAAAUGUGAAAUUUUAAAAAAAAAAAGGAAUGAAACGAAUGAGAAUUUUAUCUAGAUGCUUUAAAGGCGAAGUAUAAAAGAAAACUCGAAGAAGUAAAAUAUUUUACGCUUAAAGAUAGCUUGUUCUACUUUUAUAUAAAAGUAAUUUCCUGUCUCACAUUCUUCCAGUUCACCGAUAAUACAAUCUUUCUUGAUGUACUGAAACACAUCUUUACGCAUCACUUUUCUUCAAUUACGUCAGCUGUGUUGCGCCAUCAUUUUAACUUUAUCCAAGAAAAGGAGACAAAGCUGACGUGAUCUGCUAGGUCGUGUCAUUCUGUUCUAGAAAAAUUAAAUGAAAAUUCUCAAAAAAAUGCAACGAAAAAUCUCUCGUUUUCUCGAGAAAAUUAAAAAUUUUUAAUUACCAACAAUGAAAUAAUACACAUUUUUCGCAAUAUUCGCAAUAUUUAAAUAUUCGAUAAUUUUUUAAUUAUCAGAAUAUAAAAGAUAUUUCAUAUAUUAAAAAAUUACAAGAUUAAUCAAAUAAGUGGAAUUGGGUAAAAAUAGAAUAAAAAUAUGUUCAAGCAUAAUCUUUAGGAUAAAGUAUUAAUUCCUUCUUAUUAAUUAUCAUACACGUUCUUUUUAACUCGUUUCAACUUUACUUGCUUCGUUUUAAAAUCCGUUCUUAAGAACAAGUGGAGUAAAUAUUAAAAGUGAUGGAGUAGAACUAAGUAGAUAUAUCAAUUUCUCGCAUAUUUAACCUCCUCGAAAUCCUCGAAACUUUUUUAAACUUCGACGAGAUCAAAAAACAGUUUGCGAGAUACACCAUAAUACAGAACCUGUAUAAAACAAAAUAAUACAUCAUUAUUAAAAUUUCCAAUUGACCGAAACUCUCACUAACUUUCUCCAAAUUAAAAUCUUUACAGAAUAUCUGACACAUGAUCGAUCAAUUUUCAAAAUUCGACCAGAGAAAUAUCUAAAUUCGUAUUCCAUCCAUAAAAUUUCCAAUUCACCGAAAACUCUCAAUAACUUUCUCCAAAUUAAAAUCUUUAUAGAGUGUCUGACGUGUACACCGAAUAGAUCAAUUUUCACUUACAUAUUAUAUCAAAAUUCUAGCAGAAAAAUACCAACCGUUUCCAAACGCUACAAAUUCAUAUUCCACGAUCCUUAAAAUAUCAUUUUUCCAUCCACCGCAGAUCCUCUCCAGAUCCGUGCCACGAACGAAUUUCAAACUCUCCCCCUCUUUUUUCUUUUUUUUUUUUUUUUUGAAAACAGGACGCUUAAUACGUUGCACGUUUCGAGGAACACGGUCCACGCCGGGGACGAUGAAAUAUUAAGGGGAAUUUUCGCGUUGCGAAGACGCGUGCGAAAUUAUUUAUAGAAAUUCGCGGCCGCGAGAGUUUCCGCGUCGUAUCCAUAAUUUCCACGCCCGGUUUUACUCCCCGUGUUUUUCCUCUCCUCUGUCGUCGCUAGGAAUAAUUCACGGGACAGGAGUCGGUGUGUAUUUGUGCGUUGUAAACAGUGUUAAACGACCUCGCUUAUUAUUACGCCGUUUCCUUCCGCCUAUUGUACCCGUCGUGUAAUCCGCCGCGACAGACACGGUUUCCCUCGCAGAGGAGAAGAGGGAUAGAGUCGCGGUAAACAUGUUCGUUCAUAUCGAUUCGACGACUCUACGUGGACGGAGAGGAAACGAACGAACGUCGUGUACGAUACGUUACGUGCCUCUUCUACCAAGGAGUUUUUAAAACGUUACUUUGUGAAACGAGUGCUCUUUUGUGAUUUGUGUAGCAGUGUUUCUUUCUCUUUCUCUCCCUCGUUGCAGGUUGAAGAUGGUUCGAAAAUUUUUCCCACUUAUGUUACGGAUUCACCAUUUAGACGAGCGGAAGUAGAGUAAUUUGGUGAAAUGGUAUUCUUGAUUGGGACGAUGGAAUGAAUAAAUCGUCGAAAGUGGACUGGUUUAUUUCGUUUUCACGCUUGACUGAAUAGAAUUUAAUAUUGUAAUCGUAUACACGAUGCUCUUAAUUUUGUUAUACAGAUAAAGUUAUUGGAUAAGCAGUGAAUUGAGAAUGAAAUAAAUUAUGGAAAAGUGGAUGUAUUUUAUGGAGAUUGUCCGAUUUAUAUUGUUAAUUUUUUUCAUUUGCAUCUUUAAUGAAGUAUAAAAUGGACUGCCUCGUAUCGAUUAUUUAUCUCCCCCAAUCAACUUUAUCAUUUCCACUUUAUCAUUUGAUAACAUUUUCAAUUUUAUUCGUAAUAAAGACUAAUUAAAUAAAAUAAAAAUCAUAUAUUGAGAAAUAAAUUACGAUGGAUGAUCUGUGCUCUCUACCGUCCCGCUUUCGCUCCAAUAAUGAAUCGCACAUUUCAUGCUAAACUGAUGUUUUAUCUCUGACAAGAUUGUCGAUAAAUUUAUUGUAUAAAGUAAAUUGAAUUGAGAAAUAAAUCAGCGAUUAGAGGUAAGUCUUUAAUCUGGCAUUUGCUAUCAAUUCUCUAUCUUUGUCAACGAAACGAUCGCUUUGGUAUAUUAAAAAAUAUAUAAAAUAAGUGUAAAUCGAUCGCAAAAUUGUUCGUUAAUAAUAAAAUUUGCAAUUAUCUCAACCGUAUUCGCGUAAUUUUCGUAGAGCGAAGAGGAUGCCUGCUCGAUGACUUAUCGAUGAUUCGCACGGAUUCCUGCACUUGGCAUAGAAAACGCAGAUGGAAUUUCGAGCGACAACUGCAUGAGUCAAAGUUGGCUCGAUUUAAAGUCGAGCAAGAAAGUUGUCGCGCCCGUUUUGCCACGGUUCGUGAAUUAUUUUGGUCGUGGCUCUCCUCAGUGCAGGACAGAUUUACAUGUAAUUGGCAGUGGGUAAAUCGCUCGUGUCGUUCUGAUUCCAAUCUCGUUUCUUCGAGACAUUGAACUCGAAUCGAUAAAUCUUUCCCUGUUUUCGAGGCAACUGUUUACAUAACAAGCAGUAAAAUUCGGGUAAAAUUAUCGAGAGAUAUUAAAAAAAAAAGAAAAAUGUUAUAAAAGAAGGGAAUCGAAAAUAUUCGAGAUUAAUAGAAUUGUUCAAAUGAAUAAAAAAAGAAAUUUGUUUUAAUUAAAAGUUAUACGAAGUAAUAAAAAAUUUUCAACGUAAAAGAAAAAUAUUUAUUUUGAUUGAAAAUAUAAAGUAAUUAAACAACGAAUAAUAAUUUGAGUGGAAUAUUUAAAUUUAAGAGGAAACAAAUUAACAGCGAUAAAACUUGGAGGAAUAAAGCUUCGAAAUGUUUUAACUUCUAAGAAUGCUUCCUUGAAAAUUGUUCUAUCGCAUUGUCAAACAACACGAAGAUUUUAUUUUGAACGAUGAUGAUGUCAAAUACGACUCAAUGUUGGGAAGAUGUUACGAAACUUGAAUAUGAUAAGUAUAAAGAAAAUAUCGAACCCGUUAUAAACGUUACUAUUAUAAUAUUUGUUAUUUAUCAUCGCUUGUUUAUUUAUUUUAUAUAUUUCAACUACGAUUACUUACGUAAGUCUAAGUGACGCAACAUCGUACAUGGACCUAUGCAUAAAAAUAAAAUUAAAUAUAUACUCUCUUACUCUUCGACUACUCACAAACUCCGCUUUUAUCUAAACAAAAAUCCUUUACGAAUAAAUAAAAUUUAAUAAACAACGUCAACAUUUAUAUAUUCCGUCGUUUAAACGAUUACAUCAAAAUUACUAUCGAAAGAUGUAAUUCGAUAUAUGGGGAGGAAAAUUUUUUUCUUUCUUCCAACUUUCACUUCGAAUUUGUUCCAAAAAUUAACAGACAUCGAAGGUGCGUUUCGCUGUGAGAAAAUUUCUCGAUUGUCUCUCACAACAGUGAGGAAUCUGGGGUAACGAGGCACGCUCGUCAAGAAGGUCGCGCGCGUUUCGUCGCGCAAUCCGCUCGACGUUUCUGAUCUAUUUCGAGCCGUAGGUAGGUUUCUAGUUACUAACAGUCUCUCUCGGGCGUGCAGACUAUGCGGAACGACGCUCGAUCACGUGCGAAAAAAUCGUUUGGUUCGUGAUCGUUUGCAAAUUUUAUCUUCAUCCUUAUCGGAUUCGAGUUUCGAACGGCAAUAAUUGUAAUCCGUGAUUACGGAUUAAAAUCCCUCCGGGCUUUCAGCAUACAUUUUAUCACGUGCUAAAAGCGAAAGAUAAUAGAAUCUCAAAUUUGCGCGAGACUGAAUAUAGUUUAAAGUUGGAAGUAGAUCUUCUAAAGGGGAGGUAUCAAACCGCUGUUUAAGUCAUCUUCUAUCCUCCAUACUCUAAUUAAAUCAACUGUCAGAAAUUUCUUCGAAAAAAAAGAAAGAAAGAAAAAACGAAAAUCCUACAAGGAAUAUUCUUCGAUCGCCACACACGUUCUGUUCGACGCCACAGCUUGCUUAGAAAGAAGAAAAGAAAAGAAAAAAUCCAAAACAUUUCUCUUUCCAAGAAAUCGAAAAGCAAGAUAAUCCUCUAAAACCAGAAAAUCCAAAUAUUCUUCCGCAUAGCAUCAACAACGCCCCUCUGCCUCCUCCUCGUCACAUCCGCCGACCUUCGUCCCACGCUGAUUCGUUACAACACGUCGGUGUUGACGUUAUUAGCGACGUCAGUCGAGCAAGAUCUUCCCUUUCGAAGUUCCACUGGCCUGGCGCCAAAAGGAAACUUCGCGAGAAAAAUCCCGAAGAGGGAUGGAAGAGGGAUUGGAGGGGGUCGAUGAAAAUCUGGUUUCCACGCGGUGAUCCGUCAAUGUUUCGGAUGAUUUCAUCCUCUACGAUUCACGCGCGCGUAGCUUUCGCUCGCAGCCUUUAAUUACGCAGCCCAUCGAGUUCGACCCGCCCACGCUGUUUCCGCCAGAUGCACGCGAUUUCCGGGGCGAAUAAUCGCCGAUAUUGAUGACGUACGAUAUUGCGCGAUAAUCGCUGUUCUCUUCUCUCUCUCUCUCUCAUAUUUCUUUAGAAGCUUUAGGCGUGGAAUUUAUGCUAAAAAAUUGGAAAUUUUUAAAAGGAGAUUCUAUUUUGCGGAUUUUUGUGGAAGUUCGAGAGAUGGCGUAGAGAGUUGACGAGAAUCGUGUUUUAUCGACGUUUUUUUUUUAAUCAGAUUUAUUAAGAAAGGAUGAGUAGUUUCGGAGAACAAUGAAUUUGUGAUUUUAACGGGGAACAUUGGUCAGGAAAAUUAGGCAUCGUGGAUUAAUUAUUAUUUAAUUAAUUUAAAAGUACGAUUUAUUCGAGAAGAUUGUUUUAUUUCUCGAUAUAUCGAGCUUAUAAAAGGAGAAAAUGAAGGGAGAUUAGGGAUGAUUUAGUCGAUAAUUUAGACAAUCCAUUUAUCGCAUUAAUUUCGAGUAUAAAAGUGUUGGAAUAAUAAAGAAGGAAAUUGCUUUCGAUCGAUAAUAUUAAUUUUACUCGCGAUCUGCAUUUCACUUUGCAUCUGAUCCGAAAAAAAUUCCUUCACCUGUUUUUUUAAAAUACUAUUUUCGAAAUUAUUCGUCAUUAAUUUCGCCUUGCCGUUUUGUUUAUCUUCAGUGCGAAUACCGAUGCACUGGAUUAUACUUAAUACAAUAUUGACGUGGUAAAUUAAUAAAUAUUGAUGCAUCAUGCUGCGGUGUAUCAAUUAGAUAAUAAUAAUUACACGGAAGGAUUAAUUCAUUAGAAAACAGGCUGCUGGUUAAUUAAUCUCUUUGCGAGAAAUAAUCGUCAAACGUUUAUUCAUUAUUCGUUACCUACGAUUUCAAAUAAAUUUGAAGCGAACGAAAUUGGAGAUCGAUUUCAUUGACGAUGAAAUUUCGUUCAUCCCGGAUUCGAGUUAAGGUGAUUAAGUAAAUUGAUUAGAACGUUUCUCUAAACAUUUACCCUACGUUAAUUAAAUUUAAAACUAUUAAACUAUUAUAUAUAUAUUUUUCAUUAUAUUAUUUCCAGUACCAGCUAAUAAUCUCCUAACAAAAAUUAUAAAUUAACGUAAAAAUUUUCUCUCGUUGAUUUUUUAAACUUGAUUUUUAUAAACGAAAACGAACAAGAAAGAAAGAGAAAUGGACGCAUUUUUGGAGAUAAGAGGUCCAAUUCGCAUAAACGUCUCCUCCCCAACGCUUCUCUCGCCAUCCAUAAAUGCUCGUUACGAUCCAUCACGAGGUAAAAUCGUGGUUUAAGCGCGGAUCCUAAACGCGCGAGCUUAUUAUCACGGAUGUAUACAGAGGGGAAGGGGAGAGGGCAAGGGUGGAGGAGGAUUUCGCAAUUUCGUGGCGCAAGCUCGCGGCAAUAUUUCCCGAGUUGGCCGAACGUGACCCGUGGGGGACGGAGGUGAAACGGAGCAACGAACGAAAUAAUGAAGAGAAACGGCGCCAGGAAGUGAGAUCGCCCACCGAGUUUCCACGAUUUAAUACCGACCUGUCUCCACCACCUUCUUCUUUCGUUCGAUAAAAAAAAAGGACUCGUUUCCAUGGUCAGAAAUAUGGAGAGAACGGCACGCUGCGAUUUUUAAUUUAAUCUUGAUUCCAUUCCCCAACGCAGUCCUCGAUGAUAGAUUCAACGAUGACAAAGUGCGCUUUUUAUUUUUGUAAUUCGAAUAAUUAAAGCAUUCCGUAGAGGUGUAUUUUUGAGUAAAAUCGAACUAGAAAUAAAUAUAUUUGUGCAAUCCUCUUGUGUAA